UACAGAGGGUGCAAGCGUUAAUCGGAAUUACUGGGCGUAAAGCGUGCGUAGACGGUAGCGUAAGUCGGGUGUGAAAGCCCCGGGCUCAACCUGGGAAUUGCAUUCGAGACUGCUCUGCUAGGGUGCGGAAGAGGGAAGCGGAGUUUCCGGUGUAGCGGUGAAAUGCGUAGAUAUCGGAAGGAACACCAGUGGCGAAAGCGGCUUCCUGGUCCAGCACCGACGUCAGGCACGAAAGCGUGGGGAGCAAACAGG
rnacentral:rRNA from 1 species